rnacentral:sRNA from 1 species
CCCCCCCCCGUUCCGACGCCUAUGCUAGUUUAAUUUUACCAUUUUUACUACUGUUCUAUGAUACGAUAUACAAGUUUGUUUACAUUAACUUUCUAUCCCCUAUUAAUUAAAUAAAUUCAUUGAUCUGAGUGACAUUUACAUAUAACACAGGAGACCUAAACAACAAAUCUGUAGAUCGUACGAAUACAAAUUCAACAAUUCUUCCAUCAGUACAUAGUACUGUAUACUUUCAAUUCUAGGCGACUUCGGACGGGAUCAUGACUUGAUAUUAUACCUACGUUGAUAAACAUUUCAUUUGUUAACUGUUAAACAGAUUUAGUUUUGUUAAUUUGUUUAAAUAUUUAAGAUCAUUGGCAUCAUAUAACAGAAUGAAAAAUUAAAUUGUAUAAUUGU